CUGGGCCUACGGGGCGCAGCAGUGGGGAAUAUUGCACAAUGGGCGAAAGCCUGAUGGAGCAACGCCGCGUGGGUGAAGAAGGUCUUCGGAUCGUAAAACCCUGUUGUUAGAGAAGAAAGUGCGUGAGAGUAACUGUUCACGUUUCGACGGUAUCUGACCAGAAAGCCACGGCUAACUACGUGCCAGCAGCCGCGGUAAUACGUAGGUGGCAAGCGUUAUCCGGAUUUAUUGGGCGUAAAGGGAACGCAGGCGGUCUUUUAAGUCUGAUGUGAAAGCCUUCGGCUUAACCGGAGUAGGGCAUUGGG
rnacentral:rRNA from 1 species